rnacentral:other from 1 species
UUGUCCCUGCAGUGUUCGUGACUUGGCUUUAUAAACCUUGAACCAAUGUCUUUUGGCAUAAGGUUGCUGGAUUGACAAGCUGGAGUGCUCUCCUUAACUGGCGAACCCGAAGCUUGACUGAAGGCGACCACCGUGAACCUCCGGUUCCAGGGUGCCGGCCUAGACGGCACAUGCGGGGCAUUU